rnacentral:rRNA from 1 species
GAUGAACGCUGGCGGCGUGCUUAACACAUGCAAGUCGAACGCCGGAACACCAAGUUGCUGGUGUUGAUGAUGGCCGAACGGGUGAGUAAGACGUGAGUAACCUGCCCUUGUCUCUCGGAUAAGCCCGCGAAACUGGGUCUACUAUAGGAUGCUAUAUGUCACACCAUGGUGGUCAGUGGAAAUGGGGUACUUGUCUUGGAUGGUCUGACGGUGGAUCAGCUAGUUGGUGAGGUAGUGGCGCACCAAGGCGACGACGGGUAGCCGGUCUGAGAGGGUGAUCGGCCACACUGGAACUGAGACACGGUCCAGACUCCUACGGGAGGCAGCAGUGGGGAAUAUGGGGCAAUGGGCGCAAGCCUGAUCGAGCAAUACCGCGUGAGUGAAGAAGGCCCUCGGGUCGGAAAGCCCGGUUGUUAGGGAAGAAAAGAAGCAGGUGAAAACCCCGCUGUGCUGACGGUACCCAAAGAAUAAGCACCGGCUAACUUCGUG